CAUCACCACCUGAGAAUGAGCCACAAGAUAUCCAUCUUUUCAUAGAGCUUCCAAGAGCAGUCUUCAUGUAACUGGGUCUGGAACCACUGUGCCACAUGCUGGUUUUAUUGCUGUGAUAACAGAGAUUAGUCUAUUCCCUGUAUCAUAAGCACUAAAGCUGCAGCUGCUGAGAAGAACUGCUCCAGGCUAAGUCUUAACAAAUAUCUUGGCUGGUGAAUACAGAAACAUAGCAUCAUAGAAUGGUUUGAGUGGGAAGAGACCUUAAAGAUCAUCUGGUUCCAGCCCUCCUGCUAUAGGCAGGGACAUCUCAAAACCUACUCCAUUCCCUAUCCUUGUCCUGAUCCAAAUUCAGCCUUGGUGAUUUUUCACCUGAGCCAGUUUCCAUUCUAUUGGCUGGGAGAAUUAAUUGUAUCACCCAGUUUUUCAGAUUCUUCCUGCCUUGAAUGAGACACUCAGAACCCUGCAGGUUUUGUUGAUGCUGUUAUAAAUGACUGUAAUGUCUAUAAAACAUGCACUGUAGUUUUCUGUUUACAGCAUCCCCACAUCAUUUCAAUGUUGCACAGCUGUACAUAGCAUUCUCCUACUGCAACUUCAGAAUUUAAACUGGAGUCCCAGGUAAACCCUCCCACAAGGCUCUGUAUCCCCAGAAGAAGAAAAUAUUAAUGUGUGCAUGCCAAGUGCUGGUGAAAUGCUUGUUGGAGUGCAAACCAAUUGGUGGUGCCAGAAACCCCGUGGUAAAGGAGAGGUGAAAAGCAAGAUUUAAUGAAUUUCUCAGAGCCCCGAAUUUUCUUUAAUUGACAUUUUCUCUAUGCUGACAGGUUUCUGAGGGCUCCUAUGACAAAUAACUUUUGUAUUAAGGAGUCUUUCAGAUAGAGGCAGAAUUGUAUUUUCACACCCCAGGUAGAAAGGAUGCAGACACCAGGUGGAAUUUGUAGUGCUCCCUUUCCUGCAUCCCCAGCUGCCACAGGCGUUUGAAGAUUUCAGAUGGGGAAAUAAAUGAAUGGAUUUCUCCAAACCUCAUUCCUUGCACAAUCCUUUCACUCUUCAGGGGUACCAAAAUGAGCUCAGCCCAAGGAGAGAAAGAAUCAGAAGAAAUGUAUAAAAGUCAUAAGCCCUUUUGGACUUCUGUAACAUCUGUGUAGUGAUCCUUCUCUUCUCAACAGAUGCUUGCGCCAAUUUGUGUGUGCAACAAAGGGAAUGAAAUGCAUACUUCAGCAAAAGGUUUGGUGUCCUACAACACAGAGCAUACUGCUGCUCAGAGGGCUGGCCUCAGAGACCUCAGGAAAGCCACUCAAACAGAAGCUCAUGGCUGAAAUAUGUGAAUUUCCAAAAAGCUGUGAUGUUGGCCUUCAUCAGGCAAACCAUGAUCAUACAGCGAGCAAUGCUGCCUGGGAAGCAGUGACCAAAAAGGAUCUGAGGUCCAACUGUUAAGUCCCAACACCCAAUGUGAUGCUAUGGACAAUGAAGCUGAUGGGGCAUUGUGUGUUUGACGUGGAAGAGUGCAGUGCGUCUGCAGCCCUCGCUUUUGUGAGCUCUCUGCCAGGCUUGGAACUGCCCCAGAUCUGAUGAUGAACCUGCAGAAGAGAGCAGGAGGUGGACAGAAGGUUUCCUUGAGGUGCAUCAUGUUGGCGGGCUCUCCUCAGCUGAGCACUGCAUGUCCGAAGAAGGGCAAUAAAGCUGUGAAGUCUUAUGAGGAGUGGCUGAGGGAAGUGGGAUUGUUUCAGUCUGGAGAAGAGGCUCAGGGCAGACCUCAUUGCUUUCUGAAAGAAAGAUUCUGAGAACUCAAAUGGGAUCUCAAGUUAUGAAGGUACAGAUUAAAGGCCAUGAGAAGAUGUACAGAGAUAACUGUGGUGAGCUUGGAGGGACCACAUUCAUCCAUUCUGAGCUGCACUCAGUCAUUGGAUCAUCAGAGAAUCAUAGAAUGUCCCAAGUUGGCAGCAACCUCAACGAUCCUUGAGUCCAGCUCCUGGCUCCCUGCAGGACCACACAAGAACCAAACCAUAUGUCUGAGAGUGUUGUCUGAAUUCUUCUUGAACUCCAUGAGGCCUGGUGUCAUGACCACUGCCCUGGGGAGCCUACAAAGAAAGUAAAGCCUGAAUGCACGCUAAAGCCUCUCCUGCUGUGCUGCUUGUUCCAGCCUGGUAGGAGGAAGCUCAGCCCUCCUUAUGGAUCUGUCCUCAGAUAUGGGAAGAAGGUACAAAACACAGCAUAUAGAGCAACCAGUAGCUGUUACUGCUAGACGUCACAUAUUGAAGUCCUGCACUACCUCUAGACGUGGACACUGGGAAGAGACAGAGCAAAUAUCAGAUGUGUGCAUCAGCAGAACAGCCAACAGCUCCAGGAAUUCUGCAGGAGCAUCUCCAUUCCUCAGGGGCUCAUCGAGAUUGACAGUGUUUGUCAUGGGAAACGAAAACUUUCAGCAUUUCCAUUUGGAAGAGAGAAGUGCAAGGAGAAAGCUGCAUUCAGACUCUGUCAUCCCACUUUGUUUUGACUUCUGUGCUAAACCAAGACAAAACAGGAUGAAGCAAGACUCUGUGAAGCUAAAAUAAAGUUUUUUUUUUUUAAUCCCAAUAUGCUGAGAUUAAAAAAAAAUAAAAUAAAAUACCCGUGAGAGAUUUCAAAAUGUCAGCUAUCAAUUUUUGACAGAAAUUUUAAAGUUUUUGAAGGCACAAAAAUCUCUCUUGCCCAGGAAGUCUAAACUAAAGCCUCCAAAUGUCCCUACUGGGAGACAGGAUAAAUUAUAUUGCUGUUAAGAG
rnacentral:lncRNA from 1 species